GCUUAACUCUGGAGGUGCUGCUGUGUUUGGAGCAUUUAAACCCAGAGGCAGGGGCGACGCAGAAAAAAAAAAGGCAUCAGAGUUGUCGGGGAGCAGGCUUACUCUCGAGAUUCUCCCUGCUGACCUGAUGAAGUAAGCAGCCUUGUCGGGAAAGCCUACAUGGCAAGGAACUGCAAAUGGCCUCUAGGAACUGUGAGUGGCCUUUAGGAGCUGAAGUUGGCCUCCAAUCAGCAAGAAGCCAGGGCACUUAGUCCUACUGCAGCAAGGAAAUACAUUCUGCCAACCAUCUGAAUGAGCUUGGAAGUGGAUUCUUCCCAAGCCAAGCCUCCAUAUAAGAAUGCAGCCCACCUGACACAUUCAUAACAGCUGAGCAGAGGACCCAAUUAAACCGUGCCUGGACUCUUCAUCCACAGAAACUUCGAGAUAAUCAAUGCAUGUUGCGUUAAGCCAUGACGUUUGUGAUAAUUCGUUAUGCAGCAAUAAAUGACUAACACACUCCUUUACACAGCUCUAGUCAGCUUUUCUUUAUGUGCAGCCAAACUGAUACAUAGUUGGUGGAUACACAGAUGAUCAUCUAGGGAGACCUCCCAAAAUGGGAGGAACGGGAACUGAUGCUUAGAGAAGGUAGAAGAGCAGGGAUUGUCAGCAACUGAAGAGACAGCUGCAGUCUUAGACAUUUUUCUCCCAAGAGAAAAAUUGGGUAUUCUCAUUCAGAAGGCCUUUAGCUGCUAACUAUGUAGAUGCUCUCCAAAAUACCAUAAGUGAUUAAGAACUAGGAAAAAGAAAGUUUGUUUGAUAAACCUUUGGAGUAAGUCUUUCACUGAUUAAGGUAGGAGAGUAGCAGUUUCUUUUGAUAUUCAAGGCUCUUUGUAAGCAAUUGGCUGCCUUCCAUUCAAUUAUCAAGAUGUGCCAUAAUUUACCAAGUCCUUCCUCUAAUCGCAGACUAUUUGAGAUGCCUUCCAUCUCUAAGAUUUUUUUUCUUUGAGACGGAGUUUCACUCUUGUUGCCUAGGCUGGAAUGCAAUGGCACGAUCUUGGCUCACGGCAACCCCCACCUCCCAGGUUCAAGUGAUUCUCCUGCCUC
rnacentral:lncRNA from 1 species